AUGGCAAUAAAGCAUGCCAUGGAUUAAUAUACCUCUGUCACCUCGCUAUGAGGUAAGGAAGUAAUUUUUCCUCUCUUCUGAAUCAGUCUGCUCAGACAGGACGUUGUUUCUCUUUUAUCUGGUGACCUUGCCCAGAAGCAGCCCUGUAAGAGUGGUAUGUGGCAAGUUUUGGUGUGUUUAGUGUAGAUCAUAAAAUGAGGCGAUUGCUAGGUGCUGAUGAUAGUUUUAUAGUUGUCGAGAGAGAGGAGUUAUUACAUUUUUGACCUUCUAGGUUUUAUUUACUUUGUAAACCUGUGGGAGGGUUGGGGGAGUCCUCACAGUUGUACCAAAUAUUCAUUUCUGCUUUAUUUAAGUUUUUCUAUUUUUGUAGUUAUAUGUAGAUAUAAAAGCAUAUUUAAAAUAUUAAUAACAUAAAGCUAUGUUGCACAAGUUCGUCAUUUUUAGUCUUAAUGGUUACAUAAUAUUCCAUCAAAUGAUGUAUCAUUUGCUUAG
rnacentral:lncRNA from 1 species